rnacentral:rRNA from 1 species
UACGGGGGGGGCAAGCGUUGUUCGGAAUUACUGGGCGUAAAGGGCGCGUAGGCGGCCUGCUAAGUCGGAUGUGAAAUCCCUCGGCUCAACCGAGGAACUGCAUCCGAUACUGGCGGGCUUGAAUCCGGGAGAGGGAUGUGGAAUUCCAGGUGUAGCGGUGAAAUGCGUAGAUAUCUGGAGGAACACCAGCGGCGAAGGCGGCGCUCUGGGCCGGUACUGACGCUGAGGAGCGAAAGCGUGGGGAGCAAACAGG